rnacentral:rRNA from 1 species
UACGGGGGGAGCAAGCGUUGUUCGGAUUUACUGGGCGUAAAGGACGCGUAGGCGGCGCGACAAGUCACUUGUGAAAUCUCCGGGCUUAACUCGGAGCGGCCAAGUGAUACUGUCGUGCUAGAGUGCGGAAGGGGCAACUGGAAUUCUCGGUGUAGCGGUGAAAUGCGUAGAUAUCGAGAGGAACACCUGCGGCGAAGGCGGGUUGCUGGGCCGACACUGACGCUGAAGCGCGAAAGCCAGGGGAGCGAACGGG